UACGAGGGGUGCAAGCGUUGCUCGGAAUUAUUGGGCGUAAAGGGUAGGUAGGCGGUCUCAUUUGUCUGGGGUGAAAGCCUUGAGCUUAACUCAAGAAGUGCCCCAGAAACGGUGAGACUGGAGUCCUGGAGAGGGUCGUGGAAUUCCCGGUGUAGCGGUGAAAUGCGUAGAGAUCGGGAGGAACACCAGAGGCGAAAGCGGCGACCUGGACAGGCACUGACACUCAACUACGAAAGCGUGGGGAGCAAACAGG
rnacentral:rRNA from 1 species